AACGAACGCUGGCGGCAGGCUUAACACAUGCAAGUCGAACGCCCCGCAAGGGGAGUGGCAGACGGGUGAGUAACGCGUGGGAAUCUACCCAGAUCUUCGGAACAACUGAGGGAAACUUCAGCUAAUACCGGAUACGCCCUACGGGGGAAAGAUUUAUCGGUUCUGGAUGAGCCCGCGUUGGAUUAGCUAGUUGGUGAGGUAAAGGCUCACCAAGGCGACGAUCCAUAGCUGGUCUGAGAGGAUGAUCAGCCACACUGGGACUGAGACACGGCCCAGACUCCUACGGGAGGCAGCAGUGGGGAAUAUUGGACAAUGGGCGAAAGCCUGAUCCAGCCAUGCCGCGUGAGUGAUGAAGGCCUUAGGGUUGUAAAGCUCUUUCAGUAGGGAAGAUAAUGACGGUACCUACAGAAGAAGCCCUGGCUAACUUCGUGCCAGCAGCCGCGGUAAAAC
rnacentral:rRNA from 1 species